rnacentral:misc_RNA from 1 species
UUGAAUUUUAAUGAAGAGUUUUGGUUGUAGCUGGCCCAUUCAUUUGGGCAUGUGCACACCUUCCUCUUUCAUCCCACACACACCUGUGAACCUGUGAGACAGAGAUGGGGAAUUUACUUGCUGCUUUUUGGAAUACAAAGGCAAUAGGUUAUUGGACCCCCCCUCUGUCUACUCAAUUAAUAUAAACUCAAUUUAUUUUAAAACGAAUGUAAUGGAUGUAACACAUCUCAUAC